AGCAGGCUCUGAGCAACUUGAUGGAGCUGUGGAUGUCCUUCUUCACUGCAGGAGAGUUGAAUUAGAUCACCUUUAAAGAUAUCUUCCAACUCUAAGGAUUCUAUGAGUGUAUGAUUCUGUGAAAUCACAAAUGAAAAUCCUACCUUUAGGUUAAGUCAAAUUUUUCUCAUUUGCUGCACUGACUAACCUGGAUUUUUAAAUGAGAGUCCAUGCAGAAGAAAAGGUUUGUUUGAGACUCUGAAGAACCUGACAGUGCAUCUCUAAAAGGUGUUGCCAGAUUGCAGGAAGGGUACAAAGUGACACAUAAAUGGGUAUGUUGCAGCUCCCCUUGGUGUAAGGCUACUGGGCCCCACAGGCCUCCUGCCCAUUGGCUGACACACUGCAGGAGCAUACCACAAGAGUUCUGCCCAGAUGCACAUACACCCAGAAGGAAGGAAAUAAAGCUGCAAGGCUUAAUCCAAAUUAACGUGCUUCUUAUUAUUAAGUGUGCUUGUCUUUGCAACCUUAUUAAUGUUCUUAUGAUGUUUUUACAGGUCCCCUGCAAGCUGUUGGGGACCACUGGGCAGCUGCCUAAGGUGUGGAAAUGCUGGAAGAUGUGGAAGAGGAGGGACUGAGAGCUGCUGAAGAUCUGGGGAAGCUGAAGCAAAAUGUGACUCAACGGCGUAUCAUCCCUGUCUCAUAGGAAGAGCCAAGGCUUCCCCAGGUUUGUGGCAAAAGGGUAGCUAACAAUGCAACACCCAGCAACAUCUUCACAAGAAGUACUGAAGAGGGACAUCAACAUCAUCUAGAAAGCAAAACUUCUUCUAUUUGAUGUGGGUACUAAAAGUAGGGAAUGGUAAGAAGGGGAGGAAGAAGGGGUGCAUGCAACUAGAAUUAGCUCCACGUUUUAUCAAAACCCAUGCAGUUUCUGAGCAUCUUCAAUAAAGAACUGUUAAUUUUUAUCUGAGAAGGACAUACUGUACAGGGAUAAAAUCUAGCCCCAGUGCAUGCUGUAGAGCUGCCAAAGUGUGGUAGGAAAGGGCCAGAUAUCUUCUACUCUGUUGAAUUUAAAAACUUUGCCAAAUUGACAAAGCCUGAAUUGUCAUUCUACUUGUUUACUUGUCCUUAAGUGUUAUAAUAUUCUCAUCCACAUUCAGAAGGUCAUUACCACAAUAUAUGUAUUUUGGAUUCUCAGAGGUGUCGAACAUUCAGUACUGUGCCUUUUACAAACACACUUGCAAAAAAUUGCUGCUUCAUGCUCCAUCAGCACUGCUGAGAACACAGCAACAUGUAAUCAAGCUGCAUAUGGUUUGGCUGUAGUAAAAUGGCUGCACCCUACCUGUACUACAGAUGUAACUGUACUGGAAGAGACAGCCUCACUAGGCUUUAAGGGUUGGAUAAAAUCCCCCUUGGAGAACCUGAGUGCUUGGUAGAAGAGCUUUCCUCCGAUGGCUCCCACUGGAUCCUCUAACUUAUAUCCUUUGUCUUUAAUGAUGGUUACAUUCCCUGUAGUGGUGUGCAAUUCUGAGUCACUUGCCUGUGUUCUUUCUGCAAUUUCAAAGCAGUAAGAAAAGCAAAUUGAUGAACAGUGCUUCAGUUACAAAUCAAAGGAUGCAUGAGAAAAAUUCUUCAGUUUGGCAUUGCAAGAUGGUAACCUUAGACAUACAAAUUUUAGGCACUGCACAAUUUUGCCUUAGUUUAUUGGCAUUUGGAGGAGGGACAAAGCAUUGACUCUCAUGCGACAGAAAUCUCUAACAGCUCAAAAAGCCCUGUUUCUCCAGUCUAGUUUGUAUUAAUAGGAUCUUGAACUCCCUUGGAAACUUGCUGACAAGACAAAUUUACACCGGGCACAGUGUACCAGUACAGAGGAACAGGAGAGGAGAUGCUCACAUGUUAGGUAUGCAAUGUUUGAAUUAUGGAGUGUGCAACUGAGAAAACAAAUACGAGGUAAUAAAGAAAGGACAAGCCUGCAGCAAUUUGAAUAAUCCUCCCAUUGGGGGAUUUUUUUUAAUAUGUAUGUGAACUCCAAAUGUGACCUUCAGAGAUAAGAUGCCAUAGUGCUCUUGUACAGCAAUUGGUGUUUCAUGGUUAUAAAUGUCACAGACUUAAAAGAACAUUUCCUGUAAUUGACACUAUUUAAGAAAAUGCAUUUAAUACUGAUUUGAAUUAUGCUUUUUUAAAAGGAGAUCAUGCAAAAGGGUGAAACAGGAAACGUCUUUUAAAACACUUCCAUGCAUCUCUAGCACAUUAUCGUGGCCGUUUUUCUCGCAUCUCUUUCAAACCUCCUCUCUCUGAUGACAUGAAAGUCACUGCAAGGGAGGUUUAAUCUGGCUGCUGGGUAUUUUCUGCUGAGGCAGAGAUUAUAGGAAACUUUCCAGGUUUGACAGAAUCUCUGUGCAGAGUUCAGCGCACUCAGGCAGGACCAAAAAAAAAAGUCAUCAGAGCACAAGAGGCUUGCUGUCCCUGUUUUCCUUGCAAAUGCAGGCAGCUCCUUCCUACCAUGUCCCUUUUGCAGCUCCUACCCAGAGCACUGGGCCAAGGGUGCAGGCACAGUAAGUGUAAGAACUGGUGAAUUUGCUCCCUCCAAGGCCACCUUGAGAGAACUAAAAUCAAGGCUAUGUCUGCACUGAUUGUAAGUGUUCCAAGUAGGCUGCAAGCGUUCUGUUUAAAAGCUUCUCUCUCUCGCUGUUGUGCCUUUAUCUAUUUCAAACAGGCUGAAGAGAUGCAUUCAGUGACUGUUUCCACUAGUUUUCUUACGCUUAGUGGCCACUUCGACAAGUACUUAAGGUUUUAAUCUGUAAAAAAAGGAAAGCUUGCUAAGUGUGUCUAGUAUAUCAGUGAAUGUGUAGCUGUAAACAGGGAAUUCCCACACUCCUUAACUAUUAUAUAACACUCCAUCUGCAAAAAUCCAGGUGCUUUCAGACAGGAGGGAUUUUUAUCCCACUCCUACUGAAAAAACAGAGUUGAAGAGGAGCAGCAGCUCAGCCAGGACUCACCCAGCUGGCCAGCGUCAAAGCUGUGGAUAAAUCCCAGGACUAAUUCUUUAUCCCAGAAGCUGCUUCAAAAUAAAUAACACAGAGAAUUGUGCAAUGUAGUUGGAAACAGUGGCAGCACAUGAGAUGAAAACAGAUAUAACAAACUGUAAUACCGGGAAGUAAUUAGAUUCAAGACAAGAAAACACCAUGAAAGUAUGUGUGAGAUUAAACAGCACCAUGUAGUGAAUAAACUUUACUUUAGCUAGGCUGUAUUUUUAUUAUUAAAACUUACUAGCUACAUUUUCUAGAUUAUGUCUCUCUGUUGUGUGUGUUUUUUUUUUAAAUCUUUUAAUCAUAUAGGGUGGCAACAAUGGCUACAGCCUUGAAAGAUGAUAAUUUCCUGAAACACAGCUUUUAGAUGUAUAAUAAACGUACCUUCACUUUGACUUUGAAUGAAACUGGUUGGUUUUGACUUCUGUGCACUAACUAAUGAGUUAUGAGUGUUAUUUUUUCAAAUUAUUUCAUGCUGUCAUCAAUAGAGUGUUCAGGCAAAGGCUGUACAUUGCAGCAGGUGUUGCAGUGUAUAGCCCUUUUGAUUUGCAGAUCAACAUCUUGGGCUAUCUGCAAUCCAACUGGACAUCCCUGGGUCCUUGUGUUUGGGUGCUGCUAUGUGCUUGUCCUCCUCAGCAUCUCCCACCUGCCUGGCAGGGUGGCUAACACACAGCUGACAUAGAUGCCAGGACUAAGGGCUGUUACACACACCUCCUGCAAGUGUAUUUGGCACCUCUGGUGCUUUGAAUACCCCAGACCUCACUCCACACUUUGGAAAAUUGAGGGAAGCAGCCAUUUCAUAAGGAGUCAGCAUGCAUGGAUGGAGAUCACAUAAUUAACAUCUACUUUCAUUUUUCUAGGUCAUUUUUUCCUCACUACUUUUCACCGUUCUUUUCUGUUAGUUUUCCUUGCAAGCUCCUCAGUGUUCAGGCUCCUGCAUACAUUUGCAAAUCAUACUCAGACUAUUUAACUUUUCUUUCAAACACCCCAGUAGAUCCUAUACUCAUCUCUUCAGGCCAGCCAUACCUUUAAAAUAACCUCGCUGGAUGACCAAAAUCCCUCAGCAUGAAAUGCGUUGCUUAGCUACCUCCAAACUGAAGGUCAGGCUUAAAAACUGCUUUGCCCUGGGUUGCAGCUGCCUACCUUCUGGGUUCUGUGCAAGGACAUCAUUAGGCCAGUUCUUGGAAAUUCAGCCAGGGCUGUGCUGACACUGCACAGAGGGAAGAUCCUUGGUAACCCUGCUGGGGUGCAGAGAACUAGGUGCUACCUGCCCGGUGGCUGGGCAGCAGAGCAGUCCCCUGAAGAGUGCCCAGCAUCCCACUCAGCCUGCAUAUUCCCCAGAAUGCCAAAUGAAUUAUGGAUGAGUCAGCCAGGAUAUUUCCAUGAGCUUCCUUUGCUGCACUGCCUCCCUCGCCAGCUGAGCUGUGGUUGUAAACCACCACCUGGGCCUAACUCUUCUGACAUUUAAAAUAAGAAGAAAAAAAAAAAAGAUGAUUCCCCUUGGUUUCCUGGCAGGAUGUGGGGAAUCCCUGACGUUUGUGCAGUGCCAGACCCCCACGUCCUCAACAUUUUGCUGCACAGCCCAGCAUAUGCCAGAAAUCAUCUGGUCCUUUCUGCCUGCUUUGCUCCUCCGUCCCUCCCACUAGCCGGCUGUGCCGACGGAGUCAAUUAGAGGAGAUGGCAGUGAUGCUGAAACUGAUUUGAAUUUCAACCAGGAUCUGCUAACAACUAGAGCUGUGCACAGCCAGAUGAGGAAAGGCAGUUACCCAAGGACACAGUGACUGCAUAUGCUGGAAGUCUUACUUCUUAUUUUUAGUCCUUAACUAGACUCAGAUUAAUUUAUUCAGCAAACAUCGAUUUCUUUUAUUCAUCUCUGAGCACAUUAAAUAUGUGUGGUCUUAAUUUGCAAUGGUGGCAUUGUGGAGAAGCAGCAGCCCAGUUCUGGAAAUGUUUGCUGCGAGACAAAGCACAAAAUGCUUCUGCAACAGCAUUUGAUGAGUCCUCUCAGACUGACUAGCUUUGUGAUCACUUGCAAUGAUGAAGCAAUGCUGAUGUCAAACCAUACAGCAUGGGAGAUGAAGCAUUAAUUCAAGUCUUCUAACAAGUUUCUAUUAUCUGCAUUUGAGUUGCAGACAGAACAGAAUCAAGACAGGCUUCAGCUGCGCUAAACACUACCUUCAUAAAAAUGACAGUUUGCACAAUAAAGCACUUAAGAUCUAAACAGGCGACACAAAAUAAACUGUAGUGAGAUCAAACAAAAGGAAAAGUGAUCCCUAUUGGCUCUUUACCACCAGCAGGUUACUUGGCUGCGUUUGCAGAAGACUGAACUCCGUAUUUAUCUUCAGGCAGUCUGAAAUCCCAUUACUUCAGUGGGAGAGAAGAACAGGAAUCAAUUUUUUCCUGAAUUAUGUAGUUUAGUCCUGAAUCCAGCACUGAGCAGAAACUUGAAGAUGAGUGAUGCAUUGUUUUACUGGCUGAGGUGGAACAGGUAGCACAGGAAGGAAUACGGAUCAGUUAUACUUCUGGGGAGGCCAUAUCCAGCACCUCCUGGAGUUACCUGUAACAGCCAGAGACCCCUAAGGUGCUCAGUCAUCCCCAAGGGCUCACAUGCAGAUGUUCCUGUCAGCCCUUGCCAGUUCUCCAGGCUGGCCUACGUGGAUUUGGCCCUAUCCAUAUAGUAUAUCAUCUCAAUUAUUCAUGCACGUGUUUCAUGACACCCUUGCCAUAGUAAUUAAGGGGGCUUCUGUGGCUGUUAAGCCAAAAUAUGAUUCCAGUAUAAUACCACGAUGAAGUUAAUUGAGCUUUACCCUGACUGGCAUCACCUGCUUUAUUUCAGGCUUUCAUUUCCUGGCUGUGUCUUUGCAUGCUGACAGAGCCCCUUACAGUGCAGAGCCUGCAUAACCUACUGUCUGUCAUGGGGUUCCCCCUUAGCCCUCUCAAUAACCUAAAGAGAUGGAACAUCAUCAGCACUGUGUGGAUAUGCUGCAACUCUCAUUGCUCCUGAAUUGUCUGUAUCGUUCUUCUCAAGCAUGGCAAUGGAACAAGUUGCACUAGUCUCUUAAUGCAUGAGUGUCCAACCUUUUGGCUUGCUUGGGUUGCAUUGAGUGAAGAAGAAUUGACUUGGGUUGCAUAUAUGUAGGCUGCUCUAAAAGUAGUACCUCCUAUUUAUUUCCAUGGAAACCACAACAGAUACAAAGAAUGUAAUAACACUAUUUAAUAGAGCCAAUU